GGAGUGGGUUGGGUGAUCGCGCGUACCGGCCCCAGGGUCGGCAAGCGAGGAAAGUCCGGGCUCCACAGGACAGGACGCUGGGUAACUCCCAGGAGGGGCGACCCUACAGACAGUGCCACAGAAAAUACACCGCCUGGAUCGAUACCGGUUUGGGUAAGGGUGAAAAGGUGAGGUAAGAGCUCACCGCGUUCGCGGCGACGCGGACGGCAGGGUAAACCUCGUUCGGAGCAAGGCCAAAUAGGGGAGCAGAGGUGGUCCGCCUCGCACGACUCCCGGGUAGGCUGCAAAGAGACGGCGGGUAACCGUCGGUCCAAGAUGAAUGAUCGCCCCGUCUGGCCCUGUGGCCGGGCGGACAGAACUCGGCUUAUAGACCCACUCCAUAC
rnacentral:RNase_P_RNA from 1 species